GGUUUGCAAAGGUUUUACAUCCCUGAGGUGGAACGUUGUUAGGUUUGGAGAGUUUUUGGAUGGAAAUCCCAGGCCACUUCCAGACCAUCAGAUUCUUCCAAUUUAACCCUCCUUGGAGUGUGUGGAGUUUCUCCCUUGUGAUGGGGACACUCCUGGAGGUUCAGAGAGAGAGAUCUGCUCACAGGCUUUGGUUCGCUGAACCUGGAUUAAAGGAGAAUUGGUCUGGCAGGAGAUUUAUUUAAAUGCCAUCACCUGAAUCCUCAUCCCCACACACCUGGGGAAGCCCUGGGGGGACUUGUCUGGAGCUGAUGGUUCCUGUUCCACUGUGAUCCCCAAGGAACUGCAGGAAUCCACAGAACCAGAACAUCUUUCCAAGCUGUACCCCAUGAAAUCCAAAAUGUUCCUGAGGACUCUCCGAGCAAAGCUUUGGCAAUUCCAGAUCUUCAGCCAAGAUGGGUCAACACCCAGC